UACGUAGGGUGCAAGCGUUGUCCGGAAUUAUUGGGCGUAAAGAGCUCGUAGGCGGUCUGUCACGUCGGCUGUGAAAACCUGGGGCUCAACUCCGGGCCUGCAGCCGAUACGGGCAGACUAGAAUUCGGUAGGGGAGACUGGAAUUCCUGGUGUAGCGGUGAAAUGCGCAGAUAUCAGGAGGAACACCGGUGGCGAAGGCGGGUCUCUGGGCCGAUAUUGACGCUGAGGAGCGAAAGCGUGGGGAGCGAACAGG
rnacentral:rRNA from 1 species